GGCGCUGUGGCUUAGUUGGUCAAAGUGCCUGUCUCGUAAACAGGAGAUCCUGGGUUUUAAAUCCCAGCAGUGCCU